rnacentral:rRNA from 1 species
CCCCUAGUAACUGCGAGUGAAGCGGGAAAAGCUCAAAUUUGAAAUCUGGCGGCUCCGUCGCCCGAGUUGUAUUCUGGAGAAGCGUUUUCCGUGCCGGACCGUGUACAAGUCCCUUGGAACAGGGCGUCGUAGAGGGUGAGAAUCCCGUCUUUGACACGGACUCCCGGUGCUAUGUGAUGCGCUCUCGAAGAGUCGAGUUGUUUGGGAAUGCAGCUCAAAACGGGUGGUAAAUUCCAUCUAAAGCUAAAUAUUGGCGAGAGACCGAUAGCGAACAAGUACCGUGAGGGAAAGAUGAAAAGCACUUUGGAAAGAGAGUAAAACAGUACGUGAAAUUGUUGAAAGGGAAACGCUUGAAGUCAGUCGCGUCUGCCGGAACUCAGCCUUGCUUCUGCUCGGUGCACUUUCCGGUUCGACGGGCCAGCAUCGGUUUCGGGCGGCGGACACUGGCGUGGGGAAGGUGGCAGCUCCGGCUGUGUUAUAGCCCCGCGUCGCAAACGCCGUCUGGGACCGAGGAAUCCGGCGCGAGCCUGGGAUGCUGGCGUAAUGGCUUUAAACGACCCGUCUUGAAACACGGACCAAGGAGUGCUACACGCUCGCGAGUGUUUGGGUGGAAAACCCGAACGCGCAAUGAAAGUGAAAGUCGAUACCCCUCGCGGGGGCACCGACGCCCGAGCCUGAUGUUUUCGGAAGGCCUUGCGGUAGAGCGAGUGCGUUGCGACCCGAAAGAUGGUGAACUAUUCCUGAGGAGGGCGAAGCCAGAGGAAACUCUGGUGGAGGCUCGUAGCGGUUCUGACGUGCAAAUCGAUCGCAGGACUUGGG